rnacentral:rRNA from 1 species
GGCCGCGGGAAUUCGAUUAGAGUUUGAUCCUGGCUCAGGACGAACGCUGGCGGCCUGCUUAAGACAUGCAAGUCGUGCGGACCCCUUCGGGGGUCAGCGGCGGACGGGUGAGUAACACGUGGAUAACCUACCUGCAGAUCUGGAACAACAGGCCGAAAGGCUUGCUAAUACCGGAUAAGCUCACGGAGUCGCAUGGCUCUGGGAGAAAAGCCCCGUUUGGGGCGUGUGCAGAGGGGUCCGCGGCCCAUUAGCUAGUUGGUGGGGUAACGGCCCACCAAGGCGACGAUGGGUAGCCGGCCUGAGAGGGCGACCGGCCACACUGGGACUGAGACACGGCCCAGACUCCUACGGGAGGCAGCAGUCGGGAAUUUUGCGCAAUGGCCGAAAGGCUGACGCAGCAAGGCCGCGUGGGUGAAGAAGGCCUUCGGGUUGUAAAGCCCUGUUGGCGGUGAAGAAACCUGCACACAGGAAAUGGUGUGUAGCUGACGGUAACCGCAGAGGAAGCCCCGGCUAACUACGUGCCAGCAGCCGCGGUAAUACGUAGGGGGCGAGCGUUGUCCGGAUUUAUUGGGCGUAAAGGGCGUGUANGCGGUCUUGUUAGUCGGGGGUGAAAACCAGUGCUCACACUGGGCGUGCUCCGAAACUGCGGGACUUGAAUGCUCUANAGGGUACUGGGAAUGCCGGGUGUACAGUGAAAUGCGUAAAGAUCGGCAGGAACCCAGUGGCGAAGGCGACUGGCCGGGGAGUAACUGACCCUGAGGCGCAAAACCGGGGGGAGCAAACGGGAUUAGAUACCCCGGUUGUCCCGCCCGUAAACAA